UGAGGGAACUGGGUCUUUUCAGCCUGGAGGAGACUCAGAGGGGGCCUGUUGGUGACAUACAGGUAUGUGAGGGGGUGUCACACAGAGGUGGGCAGAGACCUGCUCUCCCCCUCAGUGGAAGGAAGUACACUCUCCAAUGGAGCCAAGCUCAGGGAACCAAGGUUUAGUUUGGAUGCCAGGAAGUACUUCCUGACAGUUAGGGCCCUGAGGGUAUGGAAUGGGCUUGAGGGAAUGGGAGGUCAUUGAGGCCCCAUCGGUGAGGGUGUUCAAGGAUAGGCUGGACAUGCUCAUGUUGGGCAUGUCGUGAGUGGAGCUGGCUGGAGCCGGGGGUCAGACUAGAUGGCCCGGGAGACCUCUUCUAACUUGCUCUGUUUCUGUGUUUCUAUGUAUGUUUCUAUGAUGUUUUCUUUGUUUAAACUUUAGUUUCUAAUUUUUUAAUAAUACAACCUAUAAAAUGGACAGUUAUAAUUCCAGUCUUCUUUGGAUUGUGCAUGCAUUCUUAGCCUCUUAAAGGCACUUGCAAAAAAAGUUCCCAAUUUGGAAAUGCUAAAGCACCCAUUGUUGGUUUAUCCUGAAAUAAAGCCAUUUCAAAUG